UACGUAGGGUGCGAGCGUUGUCCGGAAUUAUUGGGCGUAAAGGGCUCGUAGGCGGUUUGUCGCGUCGGGAGUGAAAUCCUACGGCUUAACUGUGGGCUUGCUUUCGAUACGGGCAGACUAGAGGUAUGCAGGGGAGAACGGAAUUCCUGGUGUAGCGGUGAAAUGCGCAGAUAUCAGGAGGAACACCGGUGGCGAAGGCGGUUCUCUGGGCAUGAUCUGACGCUGAGGAGCGAAAGCGUGGGGAGCGAACAGG
rnacentral:rRNA from 1 species